rnacentral:rRNA from 1 species
CACGUAAGUUGCGAGCGUUGUUCGGAAUUAUUGGGCGUAAAGGGUAUGUAGGCGGUUCUGCAAGUCUGGUGUGAAAUGCCGGAGCUCAACUCCGGAACUGCGUUGGAAACUGCAGGACUUGAAUCGCUGAGGGGCAGCCAGAAUUCCAGGUGUAGGGGUGAAAUCUGUAGAUAUCUGGAAGAAUACCAAUGGCGAAGGCAGGCUGCCAGCAGAUGAUUGACGCUGAGGUACGAAGGUGCGGGUAUCGAAC